CUUUAAGCCACGUUUCAGUACUGAACGCUAUUCCAAUUUUGUGUUUUAAAAGAAAAUAGAAAAACUCAGUUUGUUUAUUCUUCAAACUCUUGGCAUUCCGCAUACAGAUCUUUAGUUUACUUGCCAUUUUUAUUGUUAUACAGAUAUUUGAUGCUUAACUCAACGAUUACAUUAAAUUGGUCUUGCUUACUUUUACAUUCUGAAAGUUUAGAUAACAUUUCGUUUUUUAAUGAAAUUAAUUCUUCAAAGAUUGGUGUGUGGAUGACAUUCUUUUAACUGUGGGAGUGGGAUAAGAAUGAGAAAGAAAACUAAACUGAGGUGGAGCAGCAGCUGGGGGACGUUGAUUUAUAAGGGGAAAAUCGGCAGUUCGGUAAACAAAGUUUUUCCGUUGAUAUGAUCUUGAGACGUGGUUAUUGUUAUUGGAGAGAUUUCUGUUAAGAUCGGUUGCAGAGUGGUUCUCUCCACAAUUAACACAUUUGAGAGAUUUUUCUUUAUUAGGACAACAAGUGGCAUUAUGUUGUUCUGAGCAGAGAGAACAAGCUAUUUUCACAUGGCAAAAACUAGAUCUAUGUCCGAACAUCAAACCUUUGUGGCACUGGGGAACAAAGUGUGGACUUUUUUAUAGUAAUCCCAAUAAACAGUUAUAUUAAGAACUUUUUUGAAAUUUUUUCUGAGGUCAUUUAGUUUUAUACUUUUAUUUUUAAGGUAUAUUAGGUAGUUGCACUGGUCUUUAAAUUUAGGGAUUUUAACAUUCAUGGUGUUAACUUUGAGUACUUCAAGAUUUUUUACAAGUUCAUUAAAGAGAUCAUCUUCUUUUAUUUUAUGUAAUCCGUAGAGAACAACUUUAAUCGGUUUGUUUUCUUUUGAAUUAUGGGUAA